rnacentral:rRNA from 1 species
AUACGGAGGAUGCAAGCGUUAUCCGGAUUUAUUGGGUUUAAAGGGUGCGUAGGCGGUUUGCUAAGCGGGAGGUGAAAUGCCGGCGCUCAACGUCGGAAGUGCCUCCCGAACUGGUGGACUUGAAUGACUCUGCCGUGGGAGGAAUGUGUAGUGUAGCGGUGAAAUGCUUAGAGAUUACACAUAACACCGAUUGCGAAGGCAUCUCACGAAGGGUUGAUUGACGCUGAGGCACGAAAGCGUGGGGAUCAAACAGGAUUAGAUACCCUGGUAGUCCACGCAGUAAACGAUGAUGGCUAACCGCUGGGCUUAUCAGUUCAGUGGCCAAGCGAAAGCGAUAAGCCAUCCACCUGGGGAGUACGACCGCAAGGUUGAAACUCAAAGGAAUUGACGGGG